CAUUCCAUAUUCUAAUGCACAUAGUUUUUUGCCUAGAUUCCGAAAUGUAGUGCGCAUAAGCUGCUUUGGACUAAAGUAGCCCUGGACUGUUCACAGGAACGCAGCAGCAGACACCCACGUGCUGUGACAGAGCGAGCAGCUGGAGGGCAAUUCCUGUCCAAAUGAGAAUGCCAGCUCACGCAUUGGUAUAAACGCUACACACAAAGGCGCAUUAUAAAGUGGAACAGUGGGAGUACUAAAUUCAUAUGUAAUACUAAAUUCCUACAGGUCAUAAAUUAGAUUUUUCGACAAUAAGUACCUAAGUCUAUGUUAUGUUUAAGUUAAAAAACAAUGUCGAUGUGAGACAUACAUACACCGAUUAAUAAAGCGGUUAGUACUUAAAUUGACCGUCAUGUCCUAUGUGCCUUAGGGGUAAGUUUUCAUCUCCACCAUUGACCCGCUUAAGGUGGCUAUACUGAAGCAGACCCCUUAUAAUUAUGAAUGGUUUAUGAAGUUGAAGGAUGAAACUUGAACGAACACAAUGUUGAGGUUUGUAAAGUGAAGCCUAAGACAAGUUUGAGGGGUUAAUAUGGACUUCUCUCAAACUAUAUUACCAGAGGACAAUGAGGGCCUUGAAGACAAUGACAGCGAUGAGUUUCUCCUGGUUCUGUUUUGUUGUAGGCGAAGUUCUUAAUUAUAAUUAUCAAUGCGUUUGUUUUUCUUAAGGAUGCAGUGACAUGCAAGGCGAGGCAAAUUGAAGCCAAAACAGCAGGACGGUCGGAAGUGUGCCAUUUUUUCUAUAUAGGGCAGGGGGUGGUUCUUCAAUCUUCAGGGAAUCAAGCGGUAGCACCGGAUGCUGACAUGCAUGGAAGCAGUAAACAUUGAUAGGAAUACAAGCAUUGGAGUACUCGCCAUGUUCGAGGAAUUCGUAGCUGAUGGCGGCAUCAUCAUGGAGCAGGCACCAUCUUCUCCUCUAUUUAAACUGUAGUACUUCAUGUACUCCCACUUGUAAACUUUCUGAAAUGCAAAUCCACUCCAAGAAUGUGCUCUGAAAUGGAGAAACAUGGAGUAUACUCUAAAAAUCAGUUUGGUGCCUGCCCAGUAGAUCCAUCAAAGUACUCCGGGCAUGAUAAAAAGAAUACUACAACAUGAGUACUACAGCAGAAUCAGUUUGGUUUGAGCCAAGCAAGAGUACUAAAAUCCCCUGAUAAAAAGAAUACUACAACAUGAUAAACAUGAUUUCAGAGAUGUUGAUUUA